rnacentral:snoRNA from 13 species
UGCCCGGUCUUUGCCCCGGAUCAACUAAAAUAGUUAUGACGGUUUCCGACACGGGAAAAUGGAAUAUUGCACGACGACAGAAAUUUCAGACCUCGCUCCGAAUGACUCUUGUCGAUGUGCAAAACAUUU